rnacentral:lncRNA from 1 species
UGCUGGAUCAACUCUGUCGUCUUGAGCACCACUUCGGUGCUCCUAAUGACGCGCUGACCGACCUCGCCCUAACAAAUCAGGGUCAGAUCAACUCUGUCGUCUUGAGCACCACUUCGGUGCUCCUAAUGACGCGCUGACCGACCUCGCCCUAACAAAUCAGGGUCAUGCACUUCCUCCCAUAAAGCAUCUCGAAGGGAGGGCGGUCAAUACUGUUGGAUUAAUGUCUAAGUCGAUAACUAUAAUUGGUAAGACUUGAGCCGACCCAGCAUGGUCCAUUUGGGUUGCAUGGCAUCAUGCACUUGGAUAGACUAUAAUGAGAGAAAUAAGACACUUAUGGUUAUUAAUAUACUAUAAGUUCUAGUAUAUUAAUAAUAAGAAUAAUAAGAUUAUUUAAUUAGUAUUAAUCAAGAAUUAAUCUAGGAUUAAUUAAGUGAUCAAAAGAAGACUAAUUAAAUAUAUGGGUUGAUUGUGUAAAUCAUCCAUACUUGUAUAGUGGGCUAAUGCUCCAUGGAUAAUCAAGUUGGGCUAAAACCCAUAGGAUGGUCCAU